GUGGGGAAUAUUGGACAAUGGGCGAAAGCCUGAUCCAGCCAUGCCGCGUGUGUGAAGAAGGUCUUCGGAUUGUAAAGCACUUUAAGUUGGGAGGAAGGGCAGUAAGUUAAUACCUUGCUGUUUUGACGUUACCAACAGAAUAAGCACCGGCUAACUUCGUGCCAGCAGCCGCGGUAAUACGAAGGGUGCAAGCGUUAAUCGGAAUUACUGGGCGUAAAGCGCGCGUAGGUGGUUCAGCAAGUUGGAGGUGAAAUCCCCGGGCUCAACCUGGGAACUGCCUCCAAAACUACUGAGCUAGAGUACGGUAGUGGGUAGUGGAAUUUCCUGUGUAGCGGUGAAAUGCGUAGAUAUAGGAAGGAACACCAGUGGCGAAGGCGACUACCUGGACUGAUACUGACACUGAGGUGCGAAAGCGUGGGGAGCAAACAGGAUUAGAAACCCCAGUAGUCC
rnacentral:rRNA from 1 species